CGAUUCCGGUGGCGUUGGAAAGCUUGUUCUGAGAGCUUUCUUUUGAUACUAAUUUUGAAGCAAAUGGAGGUCGGAUGAGUGAGAUAUGGAGGAGAGAAGUUUCGGGUUUUUCAAGCUUUUUCGUCAGAUCUACGACGAUCCGACCGUUGGAUCGACGAUCCGAGACCACAUAUGGACUGAGGAAGAGGAGAGGAACAUGGUGGUAUGAUCAGACCCGGCAAAUGUCGCCGGCGACCAGCGGCCGGCCACCAUGCGUGGUGGUGCCGGCGGUGGCUCCGGUGAGCUAUGGAGAUGGUUCAACUUCCAGAGGCUUCCUCAUAAAUUUUUGAAAUUUUUGAGACACAGAUAAACUUCGGGUGAUCGAGGUCAGCUAUUUUCUGCAUCCAGCAGCCACAAUAGUCAUCGGUGUACUGCCACAGGAGGAUAUUUUAUUCUGGGUUAACCUGCUUUUCUACUUCGCAGGUUGUUUAUCAAUAUUUGUGUAAUUUUAUUUACUCCUAGAAUUUUCGCAUGUGUUAGAAGUAUUUAUUGAUUAUGGUCUGUAAUAUUAUUAUCAUGUUGGACCUGUAAACGUAUAAUGAUAUGCAUGUUUGAUGGAUUGGAUGAGGGAGCUGAGCUCCCAUUUAUUAUUAUGAGGAUAUGAGUAUGUGG